rnacentral:rRNA from 1 species
CAAGUCGAACGGGCCUGGCAACAGGUCAGUGGCGCAAGGGUGAGUAAGGCGACGGUAACCAACCCCAUGGUCGGGUAUAGCCGCGGGAAACUGCGGGUAAUCCCCAGCGACGUAAGAGACCGGCAUCGGCCUCUUACCAAAGCUCCGGCGCCGUGGGACGGGCCGCUGUGGUAUUAGGUAGUUGGCGGGGUAACGGCCCACCAAGCCGAUGAUGCCUACCGGGCGUGCGAGCGUGGCCCGGCACACUGGGACUGAGACACUGCCCAGACUCCUACGGGAGGCUGCAGUCGAGAAUCUUCGGCAAUGGGCGCAAGCCUGACCGAGCGACGCCGCGUGGAGGAUGAAGGCCUUCGGGUUGUAAACUCCUGUCGAGGGGGAGGAAGGCGCAAGCUUGACCGAUCCCUGGAGGAAGCACGGGCUAAGUUCGUGCCAGCAGCCGCGGUAAGACGAACCGUGCGAACGUUAUUCGGAAUCACUGGGCUUAAAGCGCGUGUAGGCGGAUGGGAACGUCGGUAGUUGAAAGCCCCCGGCUCAACCGGGGAAGUGGUGCCGAAACGACCCGUCUGGAGGGACGUAGGGGGACCUGGAACUUCCGGUGGAGCGGUGAAAUGCGUUGAGAUCGGAAGGAACGCCCGUGGCGAAAGCGAGGUCCUGGACGUCUACUGACGCUGAGACGCGAAAGCUAGGGGAGCAAACGGGAUUAGAUACCCCGGUAGUCCUAGCCGUAAACGAUGGGCACUGGGUAGGGGGCUCGCCGAUGGGCUCUCUGCCGUAGGGAAACCGUGAAGUGCCCCGCCUGGGGAGUAUGGUCGCAAGGCUGAAACUCAAAGGAAUUGACGGGGGCUCACACAAGCGGUGGAGCAUGUGGCUUAAUUCGAGGCUAC